rnacentral:rRNA from 1 species
UACGUAGGGUGCAAGCGUUAAUCGGAAUUACUGGGCGUAAAGCGUGCGCAGGCGGUUUUGUAAGUCUGUCGUGAAAUCCCCGGGCUCAACCUGGGAAUUGCGAUGGAGACUGCAAGGCUAGAAUCUGGCAGAGGGAGGUAGAAUUCCACGUGUAGCAGUGAAAUGCGUAGAGAUGUGGAGGAACACCGAUGGCGAAGGCAGCCCCCUGGGUCAAGAUUGACGCUCAUGCACGAAAGCGUGGGGAGCAAACAGG